rnacentral:rRNA from 1 species
GACGAACGCUGGCGGCGUGCUUAACACAUGCAAGUCGAACGGUAAGGCCCUUUCGGGGGUACACGAGUGGCGGACGGGUGCGUAACACGUGGGAGAUCUGCCCUGCACUUUGGGAUAAGCCUGGGAAACUGGGUCUAAUACCGGAUAGGACUACGCGAUGCAUGUCGUGUGGUCGAAAGCUCUUGCGGCGUGGGAUGGGCCCGCGGCCUAUCAGCUUGUUGGUGGGGUGAUGGCCUACCAAGGCGACGACGGGUAGCCGGCCUGAGAGGGUGUCCGGCCACACUGGGACUGAGGUACGGCCCAGACUCCUACGGGAGGCAGCAGUGGGGAAUAUUGCACAAUGGGCGCAAGCCUGAUGCAGCGACGCCGCGUGGGGGAUGACGGCCUUCGGGUUGUAAACCCCUUUCAGCACAGACGAAGCGUAAGUGACGGUAUGUGCAGAAGAAGCACCGGCCAACUACGUG